GAUCCCUUUCACGUAUUUCAUCUAUUUUUCCUAUAGGUUAGCCAAAGUGCCCGUCAAUGCUUAAAGCAGUUUCUGCUAUAUUUCUCCAGUCAGGUAUAUAGAACAAAGAUGUAGUAUUGCAAUGGCUGACCUCAAAAGUCCUUCUUAUAAAACAUCGUUGGAUCUUCGAUGUCGCAUACAUUCUGACAAACUCUAAUCAAUCUGCCUUAGUAUCAAAGGAAACUUCCUUCCAGGAUGUCCUGGAUUUGAUGUUAACCAGAUAGCACUAACCCAAAACUCAUCCAAAGAAUUACAAGGCACAGUCGAGGUAGCAUGGCUUAGAGACCACUCUUAAUAUGCUUUUUGGAUACAGCUUUGAUCCAGAUAUUUGAAACCUUGUGUAGCUUGAAAAAACCCCACAAGACACAAACAUCUUGCAGCCAAUGUAUUAUACUGAGCUCUGCAAGCAAAGGUGUCACACUGUGUUAGCAAAGCUAUGAGAUGAAUCGGAUAUUACAUUGAUGAGAAUCAGAAGAAACUCUGCGGUCUGUAGCUGAAGCUACAUGACAGUAAGAAGUCACAGUGCUGUAAUAAGUCAGACCUGAAGUCACCAUACUGUGAUGUGGGUCAGGAGACAGGUCUCUGAAAUCUGAGAAAGAAUGCAUGCAACACAGCAAAGCAGGAGUGCAACAUGAGGUUACGCAAGUGCACAAAGGACCAAGGUUAGGUUUCAACAAAGCCUAAAAGAUUACAAAGUAUUCCUCUUUUAUUGCAGUUAAUUCGUGGUUCUUGAUUUGAACACUCCUCUGAAUUUGUUCAAUACACCUUUUUCUUUCUUUAUCCCUUGAAACACAAUAGAAGAUAUUUCCUCAAAGGCUUCAGUGUUCUUCUAGUAUUUUCUUUGCUGCACAAGAAUCACAUAAGUCCUGAAUGCAAACAAUGUGUAUUAUGACUAGACUAGAAAACACGUUACUUUCAGAUAGGGAUUACCUUUUUACUUGGGCAAUAAAGUUAAGGUUUAUGGAACAGAAAAUAUUUUUCCAUACACCCAAAGGAAUGUGAUGGAAUAACUGCCAACAGAGCAAAUUAUAAACAUUUACCUUGAUAUCACAAAGGCAAGUCUCCUAAAGAUAGAUCUAUAUUUUUUUAACUUCUGAUUAAAACAUUAUUGUACCAGUUAAUGGAUCUGUGUGUGUGAAUAUACCAUGCAGAUAUCUUACUAUGCUCUGAAGAACAGUUUCUUCCUUUUGACUUGGAAUGGCAUGCUCAGUUGUGUUUAUCAGCUGAGAAAAACA